AGUGAACGCUGGCGGUAGGCCUAACACAUGCGAGUCGAACGGCAGCACAGUAAGAGCUUGCUCUUACGGGUGGCGAGUGGCGGACGGGUGAGGAAUACAUCGGAAUCUACUUUUUCGUGGGGGAUAACGUAGGGAAACUUACGCUAAUACCGCAUACGACCUACGGGUGAAAGCAGGGGAUCUUCGGACCUUGCGCGAUUGAAUGAGCCGAUGUCGGAUUAGCUAGUUGGCGGGGUAAGGGCCCACCAAGGCGACGAUCCGUAGCUGGUCUGAGAGGAUGAUCAGCCACACUGGAACUGAGACACGGUCCAGACUCGUACGGGAGGCAGCAGUGGGGAAUAUUGGACAAUGGGCGCAAGCCUGAUCCAGCCAUACCGCGUGGGUGAAGAAGGCCUUCGGGUGGUAAAGCCCUUUUGUUGGGAAAGAAAAGCAGCAGGUUAAUACCCCGCUGUUCGGACGGUACCCAAAGAAUAAGCACCGGCUAACUUCGU
rnacentral:rRNA from 1 species